CUGCUUCACAAUACAAUCAAAAGUAAACUCUACAAUGAGAUCCCCACUGUUAGCGACAGCCCUACUCGAAGCUAUUUCCUCCUCCAAUUCAACAGGCUCUUCCCAAUAAGGUCCACUGAAGGCUUGUCUAAGAACAUUUGAGCAAUGUGUCAGAAGCCGAUGCCUCAUUUUUCUCUCUUCCUUCAGGAUGGCAACUUUAAUGAGGACAAACCCCAGGAAAAUCUCUGAUAACUCCCAACAACCUGUUCAUGUUCGGGUUUACCACUAUGAAGAAUCCUAUGGCUAAGCAAGUAUUCAGGCAUCAAGUACAAAGGACAAGCACAUACGAAUGCUACAUUGCCAAGAAAUUGUUCUAUCCUCCUGGUAGGUAUCAUUCAAAUGCUGGAAACCUGAGAAUACAUUUCCUCAAAUUCUUUGGCAGUUAGGACAAAACAGGUACUGAUAACCAAGAUGCCCAUUUGGAAGGCAGAAAUGAGGAGGAGGCUGAUUCUAGGUUCCAUGGCUUGCUAUGUUCCAUGGCUAGCAAAAGUUCUUACAUGGAUGUUUAAUAUUUUACAGAAGAACCCAGUGGCACAGGCUUGAGGGGUACCCAGGCUGGUCUUGGCAGCCCUGCUCUGCAUGGAGCCAUCUAGUCACUUAUUCUAGCAGCAGAAUCAGUUGUCACCAGUGGGAAGCUAAGUGUUUCUGUUUCCUGUUUAAAGGCAUGAGUGAUGUAACUAGAAAAGACAGGGACUCAAAUAAAGCCUAGAAUUAGAA